UCCGAUGUGGUGUAGUGGUUAACAUCGUCGUCUCUCACACGACAGCCCGGGGUUCGAUUCCCCGUGUCGGAA
rfam:Aspergillus wentii DTO 134E9 unplaced genomic scaffold ASPWEscaffold_9, whole genome shotgun sequence.